GUUUGCCACCAUGUGAGACGUGCUUUUCACCUUCCACCAUGAUUGAAAGGCCUCCUCAGCCAUGUGGUACUUGGUCUGCCAUGGUAAGAAGUGCUGGCUUCCCCUUUGCCUUUCGCCAUGAUUGCAAGUUUCCUGAAGGCUUCCAGUCAUGCUUCCUGUUAUGUCUGCAGAACUGUGAGUCAAUUAAACAUUUUUACUUUAUAAAUUACCCAGUCUUGGGUAGUUCUUUAUAGCAGUGUAGAAACGGACUAAUAAAACAUGUACGUUUAAUGUCUCCCAAGUACGGGAUUUUUUUCUUUUUGUUAUUCUUCAUGUCACAUUUGGUUGCUAUAGGUAGGAGUGUGAAUCACAU
rnacentral:lncRNA from 1 species